UAUGUGAUCGUCUCUCGCAUAUCAAUAAGCGGAGGAAAAGAAACUAACAAGGAUUCCCCUAGUAACGGCGAGUGAAGCGGGAAGAGCUCAAAUUUGAAAUCUUAAAGGGUUUCCCUUUACGAAUUGUAGUUUAAAGAAGUGUUUUCUGUUGAGGUUUUGGUAAAAGUUCUUUGGAAUAGGACAUCAUAGAGGGUGAGAAUCCCGUAUUUGACCUUUACUUUCAACUUUGUGAUACACUUUCAAAGAGUCGGAUUGUUUGGGAAUGCAGUCCAAAAUGGGUGGUAAAUUUCAUCUAAAGCUAAAUAUUGGCGAGAGACCGAUAGCGAACAAGUACCGUGAGGGAAAGAUGAAAAGAACUUUGAAAAGAGAGUUAAACAGUACGUGAAAUUGUCAAAAGGGAAGCGUUUGACACCAGUGUUGUUUUUCUGAAAAUCAAUUAAAGAACUGUUUAUGCUAAGCUGUUUAGACUUUAUCAGCUAAUCUGUUUAGUUUUGAGCUUUUCUUUAAUGCACUUUUCAGUUAACAAGUCAACAUCAAUUUCUUUUGCUGUAAAAAAGCUUGAGGAAGGUGGCUUGAGAUUCGUCUUAAGUGUUUAUAGCCUCUUGCCUAUGCAGUCGGAGAGAUUGAGGUCUGCAGCGUAGAUCCUUCGGGGCUAAAUGCAUUUGUGCUAAGUUAUAGCAUUUUAUAGACAACUUGUUGACUAUGAUUUGUCUUGUAGCUUACUCGCUUAUGUUAUUUUACCUACGCUUAGGAUGUUGAGUAGCGACAUACGCAC
rnacentral:rRNA from 1 species